rnacentral:rRNA from 1 species
GACGAACGCUGGCGGCGUGCUUAACACAUGCAAGUCGAACGGAAAGGCCCUGCUUUUGUGGGGUGCUCGAGUGGCGAACGGGUGAGUAACACGUGAGUAACCUGCCCCUGUCUUUGGGAUAACUUCUGGAAACUGGGGCUAAUACCGGAUAGGAGCUCCUGCUGCAUGGUGGGGGUUGGAAAGUUUCGGCGGUUGGGGAUGGACUCGCGGCUUAUCAGCUUGUUGGUGGGGUAGUGGCUUACCAAGGCUUUGACGGGUAGCCGGCCUGAGAGGGUGACCGGCCACCAUGGGACUGAGAUACGGCCCAGAAUCCUACGGGAGGCAGCAGUGGGGAAUAUUGCGCAAUGGGCGGAAGCCUGAUACAGCGACGCCGCGUGCGGGAUGACGGCCUUCGGGUUGUGAACCGCUUUCGCCUGUGACGAAGCGUGAGUGACGGUAAUGGGUAAAGAAGCACCGGCUAACUACGUG